rnacentral:rRNA from 1 species
CCUACGGGAGGCAGCAGUGGGGAAUAUUGCACAAUGGGCGCAAGCCUGAUGUAGCCAUGCCGCGUGUGUGAAGAAGGCCUUCGGGUUGUAAAGCACUUUCAGCGGGGAGGAAGGCGGUGAGGUUAAUAACCUCAUCGAUUGACGUUACCCGCAGAAGAAGCACCGGCUAACUCCGUGCCAGCAGCCGCGGUAAUACGGAGGGUGCAAGCGUUAAUCGGAAUUACUGGGCGUAAAGCGCACGCAGGCGGUCUGUCAAGUCGGAUGUGAAAUCCCCGGGCUCAACCUGGGAACUGCAUUCGAAACUGGCAGGCUAGAGUCUUGUAGAGGGGGGUAGAAUUCCAGGUGUAGCGGUGAAAUGCGUAGAGAUCUGGAGGAAUACCGGUGGCGAAGGCGGCCCCCUGGACAAAGACUGACGCUCAGGUGCGAAAGCGUGGGGAGCAAACAGGAUUAGAUACCCGAGUAGUC